ensembl:lncRNA
AUGAGACUCCCUUUGAAGGCCAGACAGAUAGAGCGAGGGAAUGAGAGAAAGAGAGAGAGAGUGGGAGAAAGAAGGGGGCUGGGGGCAAGCAAUAGGAGCGCAAUUAAAAUUGCACACACUGGCGAAAUCUUUUUCUUUUAAAGCACAAGUCCUAGCCCUCUUUAGGGAGCUCAUCAACCCCUUCUCCUUUUGAAGAUUUCACAGUGUUUUUUUCUUUCUGGUUUUAGGCAGACAACGAGUUGCUGGCCGCUCCAUUAUGGCCUUGUUUGCUCCUUGUAUGCAGGAUCAUCCAUACAAUAAAAGCGAAAUUAAAAGUUCUCAGAUGUGCGGCACUGUUGGCACAUGCUGCUAGCGUACGCAUAUUCUCUCCGCCCCCGGAUGGAUUGAAGAUACCACCUUCACUUGGGAGUGAAGGCCAGAGAGGAGAAAACGUGAGGGGAUGCCUUCUGCCUAUCGGGCACAAGAGUGUUUGCAUGUUGACUUCAGAGCCAAAUCAGGAGGCAACGAAGGGGACAGGCCACAGCUUUCAGCAACAUGUCAACUGGACACAGUAACUCAUAAAAUAUCCUCUGUGCGCAUGAAAAAUGCAGGCUGACUCCAGGAGAAGGGUAUGUAUAAUUGAUUCAAAUGAGGAGCUCUUCCCUGCCAGGGACCGUGCGCUCAGUUUGCCAGCUGCUGUGCUGGGAGAACAGAAUGUAGGCCAGAGGAAGAAGAAAGGUGCUCCGGACACAGCCUGACCCGGUGGGAGAGAAGAAAUGAUAGAGGACAUACCACAUCAAGCCCCAGGCCAUGACGUGUAUGACGUUAGUAAGAGUUUCUUUCAAAUGCAUCACUAGCAUCGUUUGCAUUAGCUGAUGCAGGACAGUCGCAUAACACCCUCGUUAAAUAAGCUAGUGACAACCAAAGAUAUGAAAAAAGUUUGAAUUCAGCCUUGUGUUAUAUGUUAAAGGGACAGUUCAUCUAAAUUAAAAUUCUGUCUUCAUUUACGCACCCUUACGUCAUCAACGUGACUGACUUUCUUUUUCUGUGGAACACAAUAUAUAUAUAUAUACACAUACAGUAUAUUAUACACAAUACACAUACAGUAUAUUAUCCAUAUAAUGACAGUAUGAAACUGUACUGGAAAAACAAGGAAAGAAAGUCAUACAGGUUUAAAAUGACAUGAGGUUUAGUAAAUGAUGACAGAAUAUUUUCUUUUGUUUGUAUUUUCAUUCUGUAAAGAACAGAAGGAAAAUUAAAGAUUGUUUAUUGAAAAUGGCUUUGAUACAUCUGGCUCCCUAUAUAAAUAUUUGGUCUUCGACCCUGUAAAUUUAAACUAUUGUGUAAUGGAAUAUUCUUUUGAAAGUUACAGUUUCAGUCAUCUUUGGCUUUGCCAAACUAAGAACAAAAUAUUCCUUAUUGACCUGUAUAAAUUCCUAAAG